rnacentral:rRNA from 1 species
UACAGAGGGCCCGAGCGUUGUUCGGAUUUAUUGGGCGUAAAGGGUGCGUAGGCGGCGGAGUAAGUUGGGUGUGAAAUCCCGAGGCUCAACCUCGGAAUUGCAUUCAAUACUGCUUCGCUCGAGUACUGGAGAGGAGGCUGGAAUUUACGGUGUAGCAGUGAAAUGCGUAGAUAUCGUAAGGAAGGCCGGUGGCGAAAGCGAGCCUCUGGACAGUUACUGACGCUGAUGCACGAAGGCCAGGGGAGCAAACGGG